AGCCAGCAGCCGCGGUAACACGGGGGGAGCAAGCGUUGUUCGGAUUCAUUGGGCGUAAAGAGCUCGUAGGUGGCUCUGUAAGUCGGUGGUGAAAGCCCACGGCUCAACCGUGGAUACGCCUCCGAAACUGUGGAGCUUGAGGCUGGGAGAGGAAAUCGGAAUUCCUGGUGUAGCGGUGAAAUGCGUAGAUAUCAGGAGGAACACCGGUGGCGAAGGCGGAUUUCUGGACCAGUUCUGACACUGAGGAGCGAAAGCCAGGGGAGCAAACAGGAUUAGAUACCCUGGUAGUCCUGGCUGUAAACGAUGGGCACUAGGUGUGGGGGGAUCGACCCCUUCCGUGCCGCAGUUAACGCAUUAAGUGCCCCGCCUGGGGAGUACGACCGCAAGGUUGAAACUCAAAGGAAUUGACGGGGGCCCGCACAAGG
rnacentral:rRNA from 1 species